GUAACACUCAGCACCCCAAAAAAUCUCUGCAUGACACAAGGCAGCAUGUGUGCUUUUUGCUUAGGGCUGUGCUGAAUGCUUGAGCUGAGGACACAGAGAUGUACGGCCGUGCCAUGGAGCCCAGCCUGGCCUGACCCACAGAAUGCCGAGUUGGGCAGCCAGGCGGAGCUCAGCACAGGCCUUCGCAGGACCACGCACUGCUCUGAAGAGCUUCCAGGUGCACUGCCGACCUGAGCAGCAAACCUUGGAACAUCUGAGUCACAGCGAGCAGCUCAGCCACGCUUCCCCAAGGCUGGGGCUCUCCAGCUGCAGAGCUCUGUGUCUGGUGAACCAUCAGAAGGAGAAACCCAGCCCCAAACCCAGUCCUGGCCACCCUGCCACCGGCCACAAGGACACUGCGGAGAGCUUGCCUGGCAGCCUGCAGAGCACCAACUUUCCCAGGGAAAAGUGACUCAUGAAAACCAGCAGCACCAGGGAACAAAUACUAGCUGCUGGGCAUGAUUUAGGAGCUGAGUACAGCUUCUACAGGAAGCCCCCUCUCUCCCUCUCUGCUCUGACUCAAUAAAGCAUUAUUAGCUGCUUUGGCUGCAGCCACAUCGCUGCCAGCACUGCUGGAUUUCGCCUCCCUGUGCCCCACUCUGACCACACUGGCUCCAGGGUGCUGCUGUCCCAGGCUAAAAGGUUGUAGCACUGAGCUCAGCCACUGCAAGAGUUCUCUCCUCUCUCUUGAGGUUCCUCUGCUAUUUUCAUCGACCCAAAGCAGCUCUUUCCUUUGCUAGUUGCAUCUUAACAGCACUGAAAUAUCUUCUGUCUGUGCUGCUUGGCUGCCUGUCUGACGGUGAUGGAGGGAAAUGGCCCCAGGCGUCGCUCCCAGCCAGAAGAGAGGGCCAGAGGUGCUCAGGGCACCCACAGAAUGACUCUGGGGGUCACAGAUCUGACAUCUGGGAGGCUGAGCAGGAGCCAUAGUAAGCACAGCCAGGGAGAGCAAAACACGAAAGCCAUCCUGCCUUGCAUUCAAAGGUCCUGAGCGCAGCUUUUCUG
rnacentral:lncRNA from 1 species